rnacentral:misc_RNA from 1 species
UCUUAGAUUGGAUUGAGGAAAUGAGAAGGAAAGUUGGGUUGGUCAGUUUGAGCAAAUCAGAAACUACCCAAUGUUCUAAAUGCAAAAAUUGAUAUUUAUGUGUUAACAGGAGUGGCAUAAUUGCAUUUGGCAUGGGGUUUAUAAUGACAUAUUAGUCAAAUGGGUUCUUUUAGAAGAAUAAUGACAAUGCGUUAUGAGAUAUUCUAUGAUUAUAAUCACUAGUUUAAUCCUGAAUCCUUGUGAUAAAUCUUCCAUUUUGUUAUAUACACUGGGAGGAUGGAUUCAUUGGCCCCAUAUUAACAGUUGAAUACUAUUUCGUUGAUUUCCAGCUGGGACUUUGUUCAGUUGGUAACUAGUAACUGCUUCUUUUUUUCCCUCCCCAUAAUUUGUAACCUCAUUCUGGUAUGCUUUAAAUGGAAUACUGCUUAAUUGGCUGCUGACUUUGAGAACUAUCCGGCGUUAAGUUUCACUUAUCUCUCCAUUUUGAGUUGGUUCAGAUCUCUCUCCCCACUUGCUGGUACCUCUGAAAAAUGAUCUUGUUCUAAAUUUCCUCUUUUCAGGAAUUUCUGGUG